UAAUGAUUCUGCCACAUAACUACACACUGGAAUCUAAAAAACAUAAGGUACAAUGUUAAAGGUAUAACUUAUUAAAGUACUAGACUACUUACAGUAACUCUACUGCAGUAGUAUUAUUAACUAUUAAAUAUAACAAGCCAUGAGCAUUUCUGUAGAUUAUCAAGAUUGUUUUAACACUUUUCACAGGGAAACUGAAUUGUCCAAAUGAAAUACUUAACUCAUGAAUAACUUUGUUGUUUUGCUUCAUAAGACUAAGUGUUAAAGUGUCCCGGAAGUCAAAUAUACAUUUUGGUUUAUCUUAUGUAUUUUACCGAUAGUAAAAUUAUUUCAGUUAUUUUUUAAUCAAUAAACGAUAUAAUGGGCAACAUUCUUCGUAAAUUCACACCUUUACGAUACCGAAAACGAGACUGAAAAUGUAAUACCGGAUCUGACGUCACAACCCAUCAUUGGCAGUUUCUUCACUACAAGACGAAAGUAUAAAAGAAGAAAAUAUUCGAAGAGAAAUGGCAAGUAAGAGUAAGGGACGCAUGUGUGUAGUUGUAGGAAGCAACAACAGGCCCUCGGACACCGUUUCCGUCCAUUUUUUCCCGAAGGACGAGCGACAGAGAGCAGCAUGGACUCGAUUUGUGAGACUGACUCGUGCAGACUGGACCGGAUCGUCCCAGUAUACUGUUGUUUGUAGUGCGCAUUUCACGGACGGAUGUUUCCAGGCUCAGUUUUCACUGAUGAGAGAAUGUGUAAUUCCUGCGAAAAAACGCCUCUGCUCUGGUGCGAUUCUAUCGCUUUAUCCUAAGAGGAAAGUGGACGACCUCAACCUUGCCCUCCUCUCUUCGCCCGAGCCUAAACCCAAGCGCCAGGCUGCCGUCAAGCUGGAGAAAAAUAGGGUACGUCGUGUGUAACUUCAUUAUGAAGAUUCCAUCGGUAAGAAAGUUGAUAAUUUGUAUUGUAGUCUGUGACGUUUAUUAACUUUUUUCACUAUAUAAGUUACAAUACACGUACCAUAUGACGAGUUUCUAACAUGCCCCCAUCUGAUCAGGACCCUGGAUUAGAUUGCCGUUUAAACAUAUUCUGUCAUAUAGAUCCACUGCCCUAUCUUAGUAAUGUUAUCAAGAACUUUGCAUAAUUUAAAUAUACAUAGACUUCUAUUACUCUUUUAGUGGGCAAUAUUAUUUUUCCAACACGAUUAAAUGUUAACAUUGCAAAGAUAUCAAUUCUGAUCAAUCAAGUGAAGGCUGAGGGGUGUAGAGUGGGUGGCCAGUAACCCCUGUUAUAACUCCUACAUGUACAUCCUUUGGAUUUAUACGUUAAUGAAAAUUAAAUUAAAUUAUUUCCAAAAAUGACAUGUGAUGGAAACCCCUCUUCACUAAUUUAAUUUACACAAAUCAUGGGCAGAUCCAGGAAUUUUGGAAAGGGGGGGGGGGUUAUACCAUUAUUAAAUUUUAGUUGUUAAAGGGUGGUUCCACCAUCUAUAUAUGUGGGUGUUUUUUAGCAACAUUUUCUGAUGAAAGGGGAGGGUUCCGACCUUCGGGAUACCCCCCCCCCCUCUUAAUGAUCAGGAUCCCCCACUGCAAAUUAUUUCAAUAUUUACAUGGGGACAUUUUAUUUCAAAAUAAUAAAAGAAUUACAGUAAAUACAUUAUAAAGCACUAUCGUAACAAUUAUUUUAUCCUUUUUUAUGGGAAAGGUUGAUGAUUGCUGCUCUACAUUUUAAUGAGAAUUCCUCAAGGCUGCAUGACAUAACGAAGGAGGGGGACCAACAAUUUAAAAUUAACUUCCCGAAGUUCAAGUGUUCGUAGGAAGCCUGUUGAUCCAACAAUUACCCAUCAGUCCUGAUGAAGGAGACUUAUUUGGUUUUUCAAGGGUCAUCAGAACCAUUACCAUGCUCAUUGCCAGCUCAACCACCUCCACUGUGCAGUGAAUUUUUCCAUCCUGAUAAAGAAGAAGCAGUGCUACAUUUUACAUCGAGGUUCAGUCGGAAGGCGAUAUCCGUGUGAAUGUGAACAAAACGUAAUACUAGCUAUUUGGACAUUCUAGCAAAGCAGAUAAAAAAUAUGUUGGUCAUACAGAUGUGCUCUAUUUUAAUCUUGUUUAAAAAUGUUAAAUCAUUGUGAAACACUUUUAUCUUUGGUUUUGUUUAAAUUUGAACCAAAGUCAUAUAGAGUAGUAGGUUGUGAAAACAAAUUUUGUUAUUUUUUACAAAUAAAAAAAGACUGGGAACAACCAUGAUAUAGGGUCUGACCGUUGGGUAACAAUCUGUUUGGUCUUGCAUGCAACAGUGUAUUUUUGCAAAUAAUUUAUAUAAUGAAAUAUUAGCAUAGUAUAUGUAGUAUUAGCUUUAUAGUAUAUAUAAUAGUUGUAAGAGUUAAAAAAUGGGAACAUGAAAGCAGGGUCCUCGUCCCGUUCCUGGGUGCGGACACAUUUUAUUUGAAAUAUUGUUUGUAUAGCUGAUGCUUUCUAGAAAAUUGAUGUAUUAUUUUUGGGCCAUUUCUGUUAGAAUGUGCUUGACUUUUUUUGUAUGCAUCAUGUAUGAAUCGUACAUUUGUUUUAAAAAAAGUUGCUUCAACUAAAUCAUACCAUCACUCAGGUGCAUUGAAUCCUUGAUACUCUUCAGAGGCAAAGGAAUUCCGUCACAGCACAUGAGGGUAGAGGGACUCGCACCUUGUGCCCUAGGUAUCCUUAGCACCGUCAAACAAAUUGCCUGUGUGUUAUGUAUCUAUUACGCCUGUAAUUCCGGGAAUUGUUUGGAAUUAUUCACUAAUGAUAAACUAGCAAUCGGACCCAAUGGUCAUGUGAAUUUUGUAUUGAUUAAAUCAAUAAAAAAAAUUGACUUGCUC